UUACGGCCAUAUCACGUUGAAACAUCGGUUCCCGUAUCUUCACAGAAGUUAAGAAACGUCGAGCCUGGUCAGUAUCUAUAUGGGUGACCGCUUGAGAAUACAAGGUGGUGUAAG